rnacentral:ncRNA from 1 species
AAUGGACCUGGUCUGAGCUGCCGGGUGGCUAUUCCGGGCGCCGAUCCCUCGGACAACG